UACGUAGGGCGCAAGCGUUGUCCGGAAUUAUUGGGCGUAAAGAGCUCGUAGGUGGCUUGUCACGUCGGGUGUGAAAGCUUGGGGCUUAACUCCAGGUCUGCAUUCGAUACGGGCUGGCUAGAGGUAGGUAGGGGAGAACGGAAUUCCUGGUGUAGCGGUGAAAUGCGCAGAUAUCAGGAGGAACACCGGUGGCGAAGGCGGUUCUCUGGGCCUUACCUGACACUCAGGGACGAAAGCUAGGGGAGCGAAUGGG
rnacentral:rRNA from 1 species